CCGCUCCCUGAGGACAUCCUGCUGCUGCCUCCUGUUUCAUAUGAGCUGAAAUGUGAAAUAUUUCACUCAGCCGGGCCUGCAUGAAUACGCCGUGUUUCCAGAGGUGCGUGCAACCAGAAAUGUGAGUUAUUGCGCAUGCAUACUCUGACGGUCUAGAUUCAAUCAUCAUUUCAUAAAGGUAGAAAUCUGAAAAAUGUAGGAAAAUCUCUGCUUUCACCCCCCGUGUGUGUGGGUUUCAUACAAACACAGAUGGAUGUUGAAUUGAUGUGUUUAAUUCAAGGCCGAAGUGUUGAUGGUUCUCAGUGUGUUUAACACGUAUUCUUGGGUGUGUUAAAGCAGACCUUUGCUUCUCUGUUGAUAGGCGUCCUAUAAGAGCUGCACAACCCUCUGAAUAUACGAGGGAAAUAUUCAGCACAUUUACUUACGUCUCAUAAACUCUUACGGACUCAGAUUGCUGAAAUAUUUCACCUGAAUGAGGCACUAAAAGGCCAACGCUACGAACAAUAAAAAAGGAAAAGACGGCAGUGUUUGACUGGAGGAGGUGGCAGAGGUUAAAGCUCCUGUAAGGAGAUCUGCGACAUUUAUGAAACUGAUGCUUUUUUAUGACGUGCAAAAAAAAAGACACCAGGAGCGAGAAAAAUGACGGAUCUGAUAUCAUCGCUUUUAUUGGGAGGGUCGGAGUCUGCUAGGCUCUGGAUAUCCAUCUUAUACUCCGAAUAUUCAAUAAUUUAUUCUAUCAGGAAUCAGCAUUUGAUAUUUUUUACUUUAGCAUGUUCAGGGCAAGAUAUGCAAAGACUGCUUUGACCACAGGGGGCGCCAAAUUAGCACCAACCAAAAGUGGGUGUACAAAAUUUGUAGCGCCAAACUUGCUGCAAAGUGAUAAGUUUAAAAGUUAAACAAACAGUGAUAUAAUUGUCGUCCAAUAAUUAGAGUGAACUAUUUCCUGUUAACAUAAUCUGUCAGAUUAUUUAUGAUCGGGAUUUUUGCUAAAAUUUUUGUUUUCGGUUUUCAUAUCAGGAAAAGUUUGCACAUAAAUGAAAAACAUAUAGUUGUCUUUAUUUAUUUGGCUCUUCAACUGCUUUGACCACAGGGGGCGCCAAAUUAGCACCAACUAAAAGCCAACAUGAACAUUUGUCACGCCAAAGUUGACUGGUUUAAAAAUUACACAAACAGUGAUGUAACUGUUGUCCACCAAUAAGAACAAACAAUUUCUUAACAUCAUAAUCCAUCACAUUAUUUAUAAAGUCAUUUUCGCCGCAAUUUUUGUUUUUAGUUUUCUUGUCACUAAGAGUUCACGCAUCAACAAAAACAUCGCCAUUGUUAUUUAUUCAACUUUUAUUCUUCGCAUGUAUUUUCAAACAUGCAUAAGUCACUUUAUAUUCUCGCUCUAUGGACUAUUGGGAGGAUAGGAGUUAGCUAGGCAACCGCCUCACAACAAAUAUCCAUCUUAUACCCCGACUAUGUGAAAAAUUUGACUAUCAGCAGUCAGCAAAUGAUUUUUCUUACUUAAGCUUUUAUUUUGUGCUAAUUUGGAGCAGACAUUGCAUGUCUUGUGCGAGUGUGAAAAUUUGUUGCGCCAAACUUUUUGCGAAGUUUCACGUUUAAAAAUUAAACAAACAGUGAUGUAAUUGUCGUCAUCCAAUCAGAGCGCACUAUUUCCUCUCAUCAUGAUUGGUCAGAUUAUUUUUGUUUUCAGUUUUCUCAUCACGAAAAGAUCGCGCAUUAACGAAAAAUGUAUGAUCGUCGUUAUUUAUUCGUCUCUUAAUCUUUGCAUGUUUUCCAAAAUGAAGUCAAACUCCUCGUAACCUCACAUACGUCACGUUACAUACUCGCUCUAUAGACUACGGCGACCCAGAAUCCUUUGCCCGGCGUUUGAGGCUGAUGGGAAGUUUAUUUAUCCGUCGCUGAGUCAUGCUGGGACGCUCAGCCGCAGAUGUUGACAGAUCGUCUUUAAAUGUAAAUGAGCUGUCAGCGGGGUGACAAAAUCCAUUUGUAAACUGAAUGAUUUACACCCCGGCUGUCAAUGAAUCAAACGCUCAACCGUCGAUCAAUAAAUCAAUCAAAUCAUCAAUCUGUGAAGACGUGUGUAUGUGUGUGUGUACAUGUCAAUAAGAGUUGAUCUAAGAAGACGUUCAAACUCUUUUAUCUGCUCUUUCAUCGACGACUGUCAGGCCUUGAGUGAGACGAGAGGAGAUAGCCUGCAGGAGGAGAGAGGUGAGAUGAUGUUGCCAUGGUAACGCAUGUUUUCCACCCUGCAGGAACAGCAGAAACUCAUAAAAUUUCAUGUAAACAGCACAGCGGUGCGACUAUAAACUUUAUUCAAUAGGAAGGCUUUCUGAUACGACAUGACAUCCUUUCUCUCUUUGCCAAACCCGCCCUGAAAAAUCACUAAACGCAGCUUAUCAUGUUUUUUUUCAUAUUCAUCCGCCGUAAUGAAGACACGUCUCAACACCUCGGCGAGUGGAGAGCGUGUUACCUCCUGGUGUUAGCUGAGGUGAGGAGGAGUUUGUGUUCCAGCGUGACCCCUGAAUCAUUUUAAUAAACAUUAAAUCCCUCCCCUGCUGAGUCCUGCUGGAUUCUCUCACAUUUCAGAGAUUAUCGAUUCGCAGGCUUCUCGAAAACUAAAGGGAGCAAUGGAUCAAAUCCUAAUUAGACUCUGAGAUGUUUUUCUUGUUGAUCCUGGAGGCUCAAUCCAGGAACUUUUGUUCGUAAACAACUAUUUCUCCAAGCCCCACGAACCACAAAGGUUUUUGUUUUUUUUGUUUCUGAAAUCCAUCAGUGGAAGCUGGAAAAUAAACCCAACAUGAAAGUGCAGAAAACAACAACACUGCAGUUCCUCGAGUGUCCACUAGAGGCUGGCUACAAAAGCAGAGAAGAGAAUGUGUUAACGUGAGGGUUUUAAUCUGGCCUGGUACACAGUGAUGUGUCGUUCAUGAACGAUUCGUUCAAAAGAACUGAACUGCUGAGUGAACGACAUGAACUGAAUCACUCCGAGACCUGAUUCGCUCCUUUUUCAGUUCAGUUGAGCUCAGCCGCGAGCCUGGCGUGCUGAGUGCCGACGGCGACACAUUGAAUCAGCUGACUGAUUCAGUGAACGAAUCUUUUAAACAAAUCAUUUUAAUGACUGAAUUCUAAAGAUUCACUACAGUCAAAAGAACGGUUCUUCCCAUCACUACUGGUAUAACACUUCUGAUGACUCGCUUAUACCGCCGAUAUCGAGGCCGUGAGUUUCGCUUGAUUCUGCAAAAUCCUGGUCACGAUCUGAUUUGAAGAACAAGUACUAACGACAAGUCUGUGACCUGAACUUCACUUCUUCUCUUGUUAGUAUAUUAUCCAGGUUUUUUACAUCCUAUUUUAGGUCAUAUUUGUUAUUGUUGUUAUUUUAGGCCAGGCGAAUAAUUUCUGCCUAAUAGGAGUUAACGUUUCCAAAACAGCGAACUUCAUUGUUUGGCUUUAUUAGGACACCUCGACACCAUGUCUUAAUUUUAGUGAUCUCUCAGUAUUAAUAAAUAAUAACAGACACAUGUCAAAUUUGGAAAAGUUGUGCAACUCGGGAAAUGUGUGGAGAAGAUCGUGUUUGCACCAAACUUGAGAUAUUGAAAAGGCAGUCAGUGUUAUUCAAAGAGUGGCCACCAGGGUAAAUUUGUGCCUCUAAAUGUUUAUUUGUACCUGCCCAGGUAUAUUUUCCAUGAACCAUUUCUGCAUUUUUCUUCAUUUUUAACCAUUUUCAAUAACUUCUCAUGAUUAAUAAACAACCCUGCACCCUCCUGCCUCUGUUCUUCAUCUUCACUCUCCAGCUGAUCAGAAACAAACGUCCCUCGUUAAGUUUCCUCUCAUGCUCAGAUUCGGGGUCGGACGUCUCACGACCCGCCGCUUGUCUCUCUCUUGACUUUUGUUGCAUUUUAAAUUCAACCUUCCCGAUGUGACACUUUUCCAAUAACAAGAUCGUGAGUUCAACUUUUUAAAAUGGGAGUGAGGCUGACGGUCUGAACAAAGUCUGGACAAACUCUUUAUAACAAAAACAAAACAAGUGUCGGGCAAAACCAGAGCUGCAAAAAUACACAAUGAUGGCAAGAAAACGGCAGAGGACAUAUUACAACUAUUCAGGCUAAUACCGUACCAAUGCCGGUGUUGGGUAGUAACGCGUUAUUAGCUACGCCAUGACUUAACACGGUUACUUUAUCUACGUUCCUUUUAGUGAGGUUUUACAACAGCACACAGUUUCCGCAACAUUUUAACAAACAUGAAAUAUUUUAACGUUUAACAAACACACGCCAUGAAGAGGAACAGACGGGUCAGGGAACGGAGAGAAGAGGAAGAUAAGUUUCUCCUCGAGGAUUUACUCACAUUAUCUUCAACUCGAGAGAAAAGAGAAAAACAACAUUUCGGUAACAUAUAAACGGUGUCCCGGGUCAGAAAUCCUUUCUACAGCAGCAACAACAAUCGACUGAAGCACCGAGAGGAGCGGCGUGCUUCGACAGAGUUAGCAGCUAAGGUAGCUAAUGUAGCAUCCAAGAUCGAGAGUCACAGCAGCGAGUACACUCCCACUCCACCCGAGCAGCAGAGGUUGGAGUUUAAAAGACGGACACAUGUCCAGACUUAACUUAACUCGUAUGUUAAAUUAUUUAUUUGGAUCUCUUUUAGUAAUAUCAGUCUAUUAUUCCAGGAGUUCAACGGUAAAUCUUUGGUGUUAAGGUCCUUCCACACCAGGACCGUUUUUUUCGAUUAUUUCGAUUAUUUCAGACGUCAAUAUUUUUUUUCGAACCUGUAUUCUGUCAAUACAAGCGUUCACAUCAGCGACGUUUCCCCGUCCUGCAAUAUCCGGCUGUUAAGCCGUGACGUAGCCGCGUUCUCUUUUUCCACUUCCGGGUCCAGCGGAGUUGUUGUUAUAAUGCCUCAGUACUAUGUCCCUUGCUGCUUAAACUGAUCAGAGACAAAAACAGCGACUAAACUAUCAUUCUACAGAUUUCCUCCCAACAACAAAGACAACAAAAUAACUUUAUCAUUUCUGUAUUGUAUCCAUAGACUGUAUACAGUCUAUGAUCGUAUCACAAACACACGGCAUCACAUCCAUUCAUUCAUUGAAUUCAAAGCUUUGCGCACCAAAGCCUCGGGGUGUCUUUGGUUUAUCGUUUUACAUUUAUUGUCCACUUGAUGGCGCAAUAGAGCAAAUGAAGCACGAUCAUGAAGCUUCGGCCCAGGAGGCGAGUAAUUGGAUGAAAAGCUUCGAUGCUUCAUGAGGCUUCAUCUCGCCAUCACUAAAAUUUACGUUAAUAACUCUAUCCGAGUUGAAAGCUUUAAGUCCCUUUUUAACUCUGAGUGGUUCCCUUCUGAAAAAGGAGGUUAUUUUAAAGAGAUUCACGGGUUCCGCCAUUGUUGUUUUGAAUGGAGAGUGAAUGGAGGCUGAUUCCCCAUGGACCCGGAAGCCGCUCCGCUCACAAAAUGACAUCACGCUUAACAGCCGGAUUGCGGCAUUUAUCUUUUCGUAUAACGGCCGAAUUUUCUAAAGUUUCUCAUACUGUGUGUCCACUUCUGACCAAUCAGAUUGCGUGUUGUUGCAACGCCUGAUUCACCGGUAUAUCCAACAUGGCUGACCUGCUGAUUUUUAACGUGUAUAUCUAUCUAUCUAUUUAUAAUUCAUAGCUGUAACGAGUUACUAUUUUUCAAGCACAAAGUCUUAUUGAGAGAUUUACUGAUUCCAACCUGUGACUCUCCUCAAACAUCUGCAGGUUAUCUCAGGCUGUAGGGAGGAAAAACACGCGGUGAUGUGGAGUCGAGUCAUUCUGCUGAUCGACAGCAGCAGGAAAAUUUAACAAAUUAUGAGUCACUGUGCAGGUUCAGGCUUCAUGUGAGUGUUUUCUUUUCCAUUCUGGGAAAUCCGUUUAAACUUAGUCUGACAGAAAAAAACAAAAAGUUCCCGACGAAGUAAUCUUCCCAAAACAAACUUAACACCCUCUUUAGAGAGAAGUGAGAGUCUUCUCUGAGCGUUUCGACUUCAUGUACGAAGCAAACCUGACAGAUCUUCAAUACGUCUGGAUGAAAAGUGCUUUUACUCGCCAAACUCCCCGUUUCCAACCUGCCAGAUUUUGGAGGCAGGAUGUAAAAUCUAAUGUUGAAGCUUUUAGGGAGACGCACAAAGAAACCUGACGGGUAUCGAGUUCAGUCGACGUCCCUGAAAGUUCAGCAAAUACUGAUCCCACAAAGUCCUGAAAAGGAGCUCCUCUUCCAGACUGUAGAACAGUACCCCCCAGUGUGCAAACACACACAGACACACAAACACAGUUACGCACUGCAGCCAGAUAUUAUGCCAACAACCCCGGACGACGGCGGCGGCGACGUGACAUUUGAAUGAGAACUCAAGAUGCUGAAGUGAAACUCUGAAAAACGUGGUGGUUGGUGGAUUGUGGCGAGCCGCUUCAGUCCGUCCCCCCUCCUCACUUUUCCUCUUUCUCUCUGUCCUCAGUCUCUCUCUCUCUCUCUCUCUCUGUCACUCUGAGUUUUUUCCUCUAUAACUAGAACUUAUCCUGAUUUCAACUUCCCCUCCCCUUUAUUACAAACAGCCUGCCAGGGUAUCCUUAUUUAGGAGUUUGUCCUCAAUUUUCCUCCCCGCGCUGAAACACUAAGUCCUCUAUAAUAGAGGAAAACAACAGCACACACACACACACACACACACACACACACACACACACACACUUUGUUCUCUCUCUCUUUCCUCUAACUCCAGCCAACGCUGGCGUGUGCGGCGCUCGACUCUUUCGCGCUUAGUCAGCUGAAACUCGGAUGCAUCGUCUGAACCGAAAAAAGGAAAAAAAAAAAGCCUCUCUGCAUUCCUGUGGCGGCAUCUAAAGGAACAUUUCAGUCAAAAUCAGCCGUGGCGUCCUAAUGAGAUCAAGAUGGAUUAUGAGCUGCACUCUGCAGCGAGCUGCCAGCGCCUGACACGGCCCGCCGUGCGCCGAGCUGCUGUUCGCUAAGAUGUAAAAAGGGCAACUUUUAAUCUCAUUCCCCCCGCGUGGAAAGGCAUAAUAAGUAAUCGUGUUACCCAUCAGCCCCGACUCCGCGCUCGGGUUAUGUGCAUUACUGACAGUGAGGGAUGAUGUGCUGAAAUUUAACCCAGCACUUACCUCGACUCAGAUAUACGCCGGCGUGUGUGAGAGUGUGUGAAAGUGUGUGUGAAAGUGUGUUAAUCUGUGUGUGGUGCGAGGAAGAAAGAGAGGAUAUUCCAGAGAGACAGAAAAAGUGAAGUCAAAAGGGCAGCAGUCUGCAAUUUCAAGACAAAUCUGCUCAAGUCCAGCCGCCUUUACUCGCCCGGUUAGUUCAUCAGUACUCUCUCUCUCUCUCUCUUUCCAGCAUACGACCAUCACUCAGUACGUUUACACGACUCUCGAGAAAACCGAAUUAUCGCCUUAUUCCGAUUAAGACCAGACAACUGAAGUUCAUGUAAACACCUUAGUCUGACUAUAAUCGGAGUUUGAGAACUCUAAUUAAGACACCCAGAUAAUGAGAUUGGAGUUCAAUUUUCUCUACCAUGUAACCAGCGUAGUCAGAGUAAGAUCAGACGAUGCAUGUGCGCAUGCGCCACGCCCCUGUAACCCCGGAGCAAAAACCACCAGAGAAGAGGAGUAGCGUGCGUCUACAUCAUGUAGGACAAAAACAACGCUGUACGAUGCUCCAUCUUCUUGCAGCAGUUGUAGACACUUCUGACAUCUGACACCGACCUGCUGCUGUUGUUGACAGUUGGAUGGGGUCGGAAACAGCGCCGCUGAAAAGACCCAUAUCGCCCCCUAGUGUUGGGGAGGAGGACACGUUCACGUUAAUAAUUAAAAAAACUGAAAAACUGACUCAUGAGCUUGGUCCGCUUAAACUUUUCACGUAAACGCACUGACUGUCGUACAAAUCAUGGAUCAAUCAGAUCUUUAAUUUCAUGAUUUUAUUCCCUGAUUUUCUGCAACGAUACAGGAAUGGGAAUGAUGUGAAAUCGCAAGAAGAUGAAGCACCGGCUGCUAGUGAGUGAGUGAGCUAGCUGUAGCAUCUUUAAAAAAGUGAUUUUCAGAGAUUUUUUUUCUUUUCAACCGUAAUGAAAAUAGCAGGAAUAUUAGAUAUGUGUGAAUGUCUGUGAGAGUCAAUUAAAAAAAAAAAAAGCAUUAUAUUUGAAUGUUUGAGGACGAUGGCUCAAACAUACAUAAUAAACAAAAAAAACAAUUUCACUUUGGAGGCGAUGCUAAAAAACGACAAUUUUCUGAGAUUUGCUGUAAAUCCACGAACCGUUUCAAGUUUUUAACAUUUUCCUUUGACCGUGUUCAUUCUACUAGAAGUAGUGUACUUCAAAAUAAAAGCAGGAAACAAAGUCAAAGACAAUAAAGAACAUCAAAAUAAAAGCACGACAGGCUCGUUUUGGCGUCAUUUUAAUUUUAGGGCUGAUGAAGAUUCAGAAAAAUCGUAAAUUUGAAUCUUAUUAGAAAUAGAUGAUGACGUAUUUAUCAGUCAAGGUCACGAUGUAACAUGUUGCUUCACCCUCGUCUCUUCUCGUUUGGCUGAUUGUGUUUAAUUUUUUAAGUUUUACUUUUUUUUUAUUGUUUUCCAUAAAAGUUAAAAUUAAAUCUUUAUAUUUUACAGCUUUAAUAAUCAAACCUGAUUUGAUUACUUAGUCAACUUUAAGACUUCUUAACUCCGAGGAAAGUUAAGUGUUUGCUUUUCUGUUUUUUUGCGUCUUUUGCACGCCGACGUGAACCUCAGUUAAUCCCAUUUCCCCCCAGAUAUUAGACAGGGCCGUUAUUAUCCUCCGUCUGAAGGAAAACCAUCAUUUUAACCUUUAACCAGUUUUCCUAAACCACUUUUAUUUUGCCUUUUUGUGUCAUUUAAUCGGGACUAACUCUUUAACAUCCAUCGCUCUGUUUUUAAUAAUGAGUACUGAAGCCUCGUCUGUGUUCUGGGAGGUAAAAUGACUGUUUUUCUGAAUGAGUUAAGAGGAGAAAGAUGUAACGACUGUUUUUGCUUUCCAACAAAGUGAGCUCGUCUAUUUUUAGAGUUUUUUUCUUUCUGUAAUGUUGUCAGAAACCUAAAAUAAAAAAUCCCUCUGAGCCGGCACUUUCUGUGGAUUCGAGCUCGCUGCGGUGAGGAGACGCUCGCCAGCGAGGAUUACACUGCAGCAAUUUGCUCCAAACCGAGUCGACUGAAGUAACACCAAAACAAUCUGAACCUGCAAUUUACACACAGAAAAAAAACAGCUCCAGGUUCGAAAAUAAUAAACCAACGACAGAUUUCCACUGUAAAAUCUCCGUCUGCGAACGCCAUCGAGUGAGUGAGUGAGUGAGUGAGUGAGUCAGUGACAGAUCACGGCUUACAGGACUUUUCCAUUUCCAUCUCCCCCACCACAGUCCACUCAUCCUCUCCUGCACACUCAUAAAGCACAAUUAACUCCUUAUACAUAUUCAUUAGCUCAAGCAUGUUGUCAUUCGCUUCAAAAUGAUUGCAAUCGAAUUAGCAUAAUUAAACAUUAUCUAUGGUAAUGCUGCUGGACCGCCGGCCCGACCGACCAGCCUCCCCAGCCGUGUUUGGAUGUGUGUCAGCGGCGCUGCGCUGCGCUACGCUACGCACAGCCAUGAUGGAUAAUAUAAUUAUGUUUGGGAGACAAUGGGAGCCCUGCGGUAUUGUUAUUAAUGUUCUCUGGUUAUAACGACGCCCCCUACAUGAAUAGGCAUGUCUGCGAGAGGAAAUCUGUGUGUGACGACAACCAGAGACAGAGAGAGAGAGAGAGAGAGAGAGCACAUGACUGAGAGUGUGAGACAUGAGAGGAAAGAGUGAGUUUGUUCAUCUUUUCUUCUUAAAGUUAUUAAAUCAAACACCUUUACAGUCAGGUGAGUCACAGCGAGAAAGAUAAAUAUAUCAGUGUGUAAAAUAAACUGAAACUCCGAUCUUAAAAACUCAAACAUGGUUUGAGUCGCUCAGAAGAUGAUUUUCUGUUGUUUAUGAUGAAAAUCAUGUUUUUCUUGUUGUCUUCAUGUUCAUAUGUUCAUUUUUCUGAUACUCGCUCUUUAAUGUCUUUUGUAUCAAAUUUGACACAAACUUUUAUAAACUUCUGUCAAAUCAAUAUGAUCAACAAAUGACAUAAAAACACGUGAAUACAGUCAAAUAAAUGAUAAAAUUCUCCUUUUGUAGUUUAUCAGUUUCCAAAAACAUUUAAUGUAUCAAACCAGAUAAAUAAAAUAAAUUAGAUUUUUUUUGGUUUUCAGUAGUGAGUGAAAUCAACAUUUCAGCUCCAAAAAAAUGUGAAUUUUCUGGCCAUAAUUUGUGGUUUCAGUCGUUAAAGUGUUUGAGGACAUACUGUGAGAAAAGUAAGUGCAAAAUUGCAUUUCGGAGUAUUUCUUCUUUCACAUCUCUGUGAAUCUCUGGCAGACUCAAACGAUAGGAUCAGACAUAAUGAGAUUUCCUAUGUCACAAAUCAAAGCUCCGCCCCCAGAGCCUCGCUCUGCAGGCCAGACUCAGAAAAAUAGAGAGGACGAUCGUGGAACAAGCGUGUGCGUUAGGGGAUAGCAAUGCUCCUAAGGAAGUUAAUUAUAUUAACAUUCAUAGUGUCCCCAAAGACAUUAGUGCUUAAUAGCUCCUCUGUCACCGCUGAUGUUAGGCUACAAGCUAACAUGAAGACGAGUGUGCAGAGCAGCACUGACUCCGCCCACGACUCAGAGGCGUAUUGUUAAUGAUCUACUGGAGCUCUGCAGAAAAAAAGGUCUUGAAAAUGACAGGUAACGUGAUUUUGGCUUAAAACUUAAUCGCAAUUCAAAAACCACAAAGAACACUUUAAGUAGUAAAAAAAACGAUCAGAGCAGGACUUUAAAGGGAUAUUCCGAUGUAAAAUUAAAUUAGGGUCAAACACAGCGUAACACCAAGUUAGACACCCCCUUAAUCUCUUUGUGUUUCCCACAUUUGAAGUUUAGUUUCUUUGACGCAAAGUUGAUUUUUAACAAACUUAGUGCGCUUCUUUUUUGGUCGUCAAACAUGGAUCCAUGUCAUUGAAACAGUGUGAAAAUCUGUCAUAAGAAGUAAUUCUUAUAUUUCAGAUUCCUGAAAUAUUUAAGCGUGCACACACUCAUGCAUCACUCCAUUUAUAAAUCAAACUAAACUUGAGAGUAUGCACACACAGUUCAGCCUCAUAUUCGAAGUUAUGAUCACAAUCUUAACAAGCAGGCUCUGUUUUGUGAGCGUUAAACAUUCACAGUAUGAAUGAAACUCUUAAAGAAACAUUCAGUGAGUAAACUUUUCUGUUUUUAGAGUCUUCAGCUCCUCAAACGCCCUUUCACCUUAUUUCGCCGCACACCACCUUCGCAUUAGCUCCCACUCACCGCGCUGACACUCGCAGAUCUAAAAUUACGCCUCAUGUUGUAACCGAGUGAAUCCCGGGAUGAACCCGUCCUCAUCCUCGUGUUCCUCCACGUGCGCUCUGGGCGUGUCCGUCUGACGAGUCCACACCCUGUACAGCUGAGCCGAAUGCCGGGUAGCCAAACAGAGACGCUGGAUGACUCAUCAGGGCGUGUGUGUGUGUGAGUGUGUGUGUGAGUGUGUGUUUGAGUGUGUUAUACUGUUCCCAUCCAUUCACCACAAUAACACAGACCUCACAGGCCAGCAGCUUCUUGCACAAACCCAUCCAUCCUGAUGACAAGUGGUGUUUACAUAGUGAUGGUUACUUACAGACAGACAAGCUCGCAGUGAAGGAAGAUCUAUGUUUUACACUUAGCAGCAGUAAAAGCUCAGAUCCACAGUGGAGGAGCCCGAGACCCGGAGGCCCCCUGUUAAUCUCCCCAUCUACUAUUGAGCCCUAUUUCUCUCAUCACUCUGUCUGCAAGUGGAAAAAAUAUCUGCCAGCGGGAUGAGAGCAUUUGUCAGUGAAACAGCUUCAAGAGUUGUCAUGAACUGAAAUUGCAGUGUUGAAAUAAGUGAGACCAUUUUGCUUCUGAGGAGAGGAGUGAAAAAAAAAAGAAGAAAAAAUGACGGGAGCAGGAAGGAGAAACUUUUUAAAACUUCACCAGACACAAUUCUUUUCUAAUCAGGCGCAAAUUUCCUGCUGAAUUUUACAACUUUUUGCACAUGAACACGUUUCCUUCUAGACACAGCUUGAUAUCAGUGUAGAAUCACUUCUUAUGCAGACGAUAGACUCAUAAUCUCAGACUGAAAACUUAAACGUGAAACUUAAAUACUUCGAUUAAUUACAUCUGAACUUGAAAUCACCCUCAAAGGUUCUUGUUAUCAUCCAUCUUAAACUCGUCAUGUCAGAAAGUUGUUCCAGUCGUGUUUUCUUUGGCGAGCGAACGCCGUAAAAUCAACUCCACCCUCUGUGAGUCCAAACAACUCCUCCAACUUGUCAGUCAUUCAAUACAAUUAAUCAGGACCGUGAUUCUGCUGCAGCAAAUCAAACAAAAAUAUAAAGAGCUGAAACUCAGAAGUGGAAAACUGGUUUGAAUAUAAAAAAAAACUUCUUAUUUCAUGUUGAACAGGUCAUGUCCAUCUGUCUUUGUCUGUCAUUUUUCUUUCUACAGUCUGGAUCCUAAAAUACGUCCUCACAGGUCUUCCAGAUGUUCUGGUGUCCUGAUGGUCUGCUUAGUCCAGCUUUGUUUGACCACGCCUCCAAUUUUGUAGAGUAACAUUACUGUAGGUCAACAGUGCUAUUCAGUGGUCAGGUUACGAUGAGAGCGCCUCCUGUAAGCUACUUCAGGCGGCCUAAAGCGCUGGUACACUGAAUUAUUUUGAGUUUCAACAUCUCAUUUCAGAUUCAGAUAUGAACUUUUCCCCCUAAAAGUGAGCGUGAAGCGGCUGGGAUGCCAAUCAGCACCUCCAAGUCCGAGGCCAUGGUCCUCAGUCGGAAAAAGGUACACUGCCUUCUCCGAGUCGGAGGGGAGGUUCUGCUUCAAGUGGAGGAGUUCAAGGAUCUCAGGAUCUUGUUCACGAGUAAGGGUAGGAUGGAACGGGAGGAUCGGAGCGGUGUCAGCAGUGAUGCGGACGCCUAACCGAUCAGUCAUGGUGAAGAAAGAGCGGAGCCGCAAGGCCAGACUCUCGAUUUACCGGUCGAUCUACGUGCCGAUCCUCACCUAUGGUCAUGAACUUUGGGUAAUGACCGAAAGAACAAGAUCAAGGAUACAAGGGGCUGGAAUGGGUUUCCUCCUCAGGGUGUCCGGGCUCAGCCUUAGAGACAGGGAGACGCUCAGACUAGAACCGCUGCUCCUCCACGUCUAGAGGAGUCAGCUGAGUCAGCUGAUUAGGACGCCUUCUGGACGCCUCCUGUUAGAGAUGUUCCAGACAUGUCCCACUGGGAGGAGACCUUGUGGGCAGCCCAGGACUAGGUGGAGGGGACAAUAUAUCUCGUCUGGCCUGGGAGCGCCUGGGAAUCCCCCCAGAGGAGGAGCUGGUGGAAGUGGCCGGGGUGAGGGCCGGACCGGGAUGAAGCAGAAGAAAACGACGACGACGACGAUACAACAAAGUUCAUUUUAUCAACUUAUUUCAUUUUUCAUUAUCUCAACGUAACAAAGUUAGUUCUCUAGACUUAUUUUUUCGUUAUCUCAAUAUAACAAUGUUUGUAUAUGUAUGACAAUGGUGUUUUAGGUGACCUCAACGGUAACUUUUAAAAGAUUAGGAUAUUUCUAAAACGCCAUAGCCACCGUUGUCAACUGCGAGUCUGGGUUUUCAAAGAAAACGCUCCAUUUUGUGCAUCCCCCUUACACUUUCGAUGAUUUGUGCAUGACAGUUAAAUGCCUCCAUAUAAUAUAUGGUAAAAUAUAAAAUCCAAACCUGGAGGGCGUUUUUUAAAGUUACUGCUGAGGUUGGCUAAAACGCCAUUUCCGUUAUAAUAAGACACCAAACUCCGUUAUAUCGAGAGAAGAAGAUAAUAGGUCGAUAUCACGAGAUAACAGUGUAUAAAAAAAGAAAAAUCCAUGUCUGUUCUCGACUUCUGUAAUAUUGCCAAAUGUAAGAGUGCAUAUGAAAUUAAAAGUCUCCUCUUGUUCAUGUCGUUCAAAAAUAAGUCAAUAAAGAAGACCGUGUUCCUGCGCAGGACAGAAAGAUUUACAGAGAUUAGCAGAAAAAUGUUCUCCUGACCUCUGGUGAAGCUCUCAGAGAUCUGGUUUCUUUCUGGAGGAACAGUUCGAAUAAAUCAUAAUGAAAACUGAAAUUAUCUCCCUCUGUUUGUGCAAUAAAAAAAAAAGAGCUUAGUCCUUCUUCGCUUUGCAGGAACAUCAGGUGCAGAACACACUAGACUGAUAUUAUUACUUCUCAUGAUGGAGCUUAUUUUACUUCACAAACUGUGCAAGAGCGGCGGUACGACGGGAGAAAUAGAAAAGACAGAAUCAUGCUGUCAUUUCCAGUCGUGUAAUUGUCACAGUUAAACGGCUCUGGCAGCUGUGACACGCUGAAAUCUCAGGUCAGGACUUUAAUACUCGGCAGCCAGAAGAAAGAGGUUGUACCGGCUCGAGGCCCCCGGCGCUCCCUCAGAGUUCACAGAGGGCGUAAUAAAGGAAAUUAGAGUAAUAACUGGUGGGGGGAUAUGCAUAGCGGGUUAUGUAAUUGUACUCUAUAUCAAUCAAUAAAGUCUUGACCUGGGAAAUGAGCCUGGCAUUAAGUCUGGGAGUCUGUUUCUUGGCACCUGCUGUGAGCGCUGAAAUGAAAAUCAGCAUGCAGUGACGGGGGAGAGAGGAGCGAGAGCCGAGCCGAGCGACUGCUACGCUUAAUGUGCUGACUGACAGGACUGCAGGGUGUGCAGUGCUUGAUGGGGAGGCUGCCGACAUAUACUGUCAUAUUUACAAUUGUAAUUUUGAAAUAAAGUUGUUUUUUCUUACCACAGCCUGUCAAAGCACACCUACAACAACAAUUGGAGUUUUAAGAGGAAAAAUAAGAGUCGCUGCUCCUUUAGUCACUCGUUGGAUACGGUGAGUAAAUCAUGAAUAUUUGACUAAAAACAUUUAAAAAACAAAUGUUCUGUAUUAAAAGCACAUUUUUUGACGUUGAAAAUCAAGUAAUCCGCGUGAAAAUCAGUUGAGACGUGAGCGAGAUUUGAUUUAAUUUCUACGUACAUCUAAUGCCUUUAGUGGGAACGUUGCCCCCACCAAGAUGGCCGCCACGUAGGCACAUUGCUUAUGCUGCGUUUCAAUUACCUCAGGAAUCGGAUGUCAGAGCUGGGAAUGACGUUACACACACAUUGACAGCGUUCCAGUAAACAAGUCAGAAAAUGAAGAUGGACGCCUACUGUUAGCUGAUGUAAGUUGUUGUUAGCUAUCGUUAGCAGUUGUUAGCUGUUGUUAGUUGUUGUUAGCUAUCGUUAGCAGUUGUCAGCUGUUGUAAGUUGUUGUUAGCUAUCGUUAGCGGUUGUUAGCUGUUGUUAGUUGUUGUUAGCUAUCGUUAGCGGUUGUUAGCUGUUGUUAGUUGUUGUUAGCUAUCGUUAGCGGUUGUUAGCUGUUGUUAGUUGUUGUUAGCUAUCGUUAGCGGUUGUUAGCUGUUGUAAGUUGUCGUUAGCUAUCGUUAGCGGUUGUUAGCUGUUGUUAGCUAUUGUUAGCGUUUGUCAGCUGUUAUUGUUAUUAGCUGUUGUCAGCUAUCAUUUGUGGUUGUCAGCUGUGGUUAGGUAUCCUUAAAGGUAAAGUGCAUAUAAAUAUUAGUGUUUAGCAAUAACUAAUGAUGUGUUUGAUUUACCUCGGAAAAAGAUGGCUACAUCUACUUAAGUUAUUUUGGCCCUUGCCUUAUGUUCGGACAAAGCAAAAGCUAAAAUAACUUUCAUAGGUGUAGCCAUUGUGUUUUCGCCUCUGAUUUAGCUUUUUUCCAACUUGGUAACUGAAACGCUGGGAACUCGGGUGUGACGUCAUUUUCAGCUCCGACAUCUGACCUCCGAGGAAACUCAAAUGUAGCAGAGUGAUCGUACUCUAGUUUGAAAAGAUGGUGGCCUUCGAGGACAAGAAGCUCAUAAUGCACUUCUAAUAUGAUUCUCCAUCCACCACCUUCUGCUUCCUCAUCGUCCAAUCAGUGAAGUUCACGCCGCCCCUCACUUAAUGCGAGAUUUCGUGUUACUAGUUCCUCUGUAACCAAAGUUUCAUGGCGAGGAAGAUGGCGAAAUAAUCAUCUUUUAUGUUUAACUCACUCGACACAAAUCAAAACUCACUCCUUUAGUUUUUGUGUUUCUGCUAAAAGUUCCUUACUGUAUCUUUAAAGCUCCACUCACAAACACUGUAAAAGCUCGAGCGUUAAAUCAGAGACAUGGUAUCUCAUAUGUGCUCUAAUUUCAUUUAGCGGCCCCCGGUGACUCGGGGUUAUUAUAAUACGUGUUAGCAGCUGGCUACUUCAUUAACACGCUGAGCUGUAGUUUCCCCCUCAGGAGCGUAACUCACCAGAGGAAGCAGGAGCCGCUAAGUGGAAAGUCGUCACUUCAGAGGUGGAAAAGACUGAACUCCAACAUGUCGGAGGGAAAAAAGAAACUCGUUUUUUUCUGCGUGGUGCUGCCUGUGAGGAGUCUUUUAAUUCAGAGCGUUUUUAUUGCCGCUAUAAUGUCUGCAAACACAGUAAUAUUACAGAAAAACAACACGCUGACAUUUAUGACGAUGAUAAAACUCGGGACUAAAAAUGGAGGGAAAGCUGUGAAAUCAGACGCAGCAGUAGUAAAAUAAAGUCUCGUGAAGGUUUUUAUCUUUGUUUUGUCUUUUUCUAAAUGUUUUUAUUUUCCUCCUUUUUUAUUAUCGACAUAUUUUCUCUGCUUCGGUGUUCAUUAGCCUCCUGUAGUGUUACGGCGUUUAUAUGUACAGUCUUAUUGUUAUAGGUUGUGACUCACCCGUAAAGUACUUUAAAGUGAACUACCCUGAAUAAAAGCGGCAAUCAAAGUUAUGUUUUACGAGUUUACUGAUUUUUUCUGCAAGUUUUAACAGGAGGAGGUUAUAACGUCCUCGUAUCCUUCGUCUGGGACGCGGUUAUAAGAGGCUCGUCCGUUUUCAGCUCCUCUGGUUAAUAUUAUCAGGAUCAAUGCUGAGGGUUUUUGUGUGAGAGUCAAACACAAUAAAAAAUAGAAAUGAUGAAGGUCACGGUCAGCUGGCCUGCCUGUGGGCGAAACUGAAAUAACAUGAAUGUGAGGAGGUGUCAAUCAAGCGGCAGAGGUCUGAGAUACGACCACAGGGUGGAGAGAGGACACCAGGGUCCUUAAAUUAGAAAAAAGGGGGCACUUUUAAGACCUGGGUCCAUUUGUUUUAACAUUAAUAUGAGUAUGAAUAACAAUAGUGACAUGUAAGGCAGUUAAAGAUUUAGAAAUCUGUGUCGUGAUGAAAAUACGAGACCGAAGACACGACAAAAAUACUGAUUGAUUCAACCGUUUUUUUUUUUGCUUUUGACUUUUUGAAACCGCCGCUAUCAAGUGUCGCACAUCAUUAAAAUCAGGACAACCUUAUGUUUCAUUAGCACCUUUUUUUUUCCUUUUCUUGGCCGAAAAAAGAUGUUUUCAUCAGAUUUGUAAAAAAAAAAAAAAAGAACGCCAGAAAAAUGUUUUUUCACUUUUAUCUGAAAUAAAACAUCAAGAAGUUUGUUUCUUCUCAUUUAGAAAGUUAGAUUUGGAUGUUUUACACUUUUACGUGAGUUUUUAGUCACAUCUGAUCUUUUCUCAGCGAGCUACAGCCUUUUUUUACAAACUUAUUCCAGGCGAUUUUGCACUGAUAACUGGUGUGUACAAAAAUUUAAGACCGUAAAUAAAAAGCAUAUAAAAUCGUAACGGGGGACAUGAAUGAUGUUGAUAUCCUGCAUCAAUACAACCAAAACAGGAGACCCCACAGUGUUUCACUCACAAACAACCAGAGUUACAGCAAUUUAAACUGAAAUCGGCAAAAUAUCAUGACAAACAAAACUGGUUUAAUUUCAUUGUUUAAAAAAUGUUGUUUGGAAAUUUGGUUUGGGAAAAAGGUGGAAGGAUUUUAGAAAUUUCAGUUCAAUUACGUGUCGUUCAAAAACUCUAUUCGUGCCUAAGAUUAACUGAAAAUACACUGAUUUAAAUUUCUUGUAGUCGAAUUAGACGAUGAGACUGAAGCUCGAUUAUCUCUCCAAUCUUUACGCCUCAAUCGGCCUCAAACUGGCCUCAGCGUUUUAAGCAUGCUCCACAGGAUUUGACCCACAAACUGAUCUAGGUAACAGCGUUUUGACGUCGACUCAAAAGGUGUUGAAGAGACGAUAUUUGUAUAAUACCAAAUAAACCCAUUCACCCUUCAUGAAAGCAUUUGUUGAUUAUUUUAGUGCGUGACGGAAUCAACCGGAAGGUGGACCAAUAAAAACAAGCUGAAAGAGGCCGAAACCAUCGACUGUAGAUGCUUUUAAUUCUUAAGGUAGUCCAGAAAUCGACACAUUGAAGCUCUGAGCAUAGCUGAGGAUAAAUGUGCAUGUAAACAAACCGAGUGUCUCUGGAGUUGAGGAAGAGAGUCAAAUAGGAUUUUUGAGCCUUUAAUUUUGCUUAAAAAGUCGACUUUCCAAACGGCGAGCACCAUAGACGCACCAAAGUCAGAGGAACGACUUUCUAAACUCGUGAACUUAUUUUCCUUUAAACAUGGACAAGCCAAGCUGCUCUUUUUCAGCUCCUUCCCAGCCACCUCGAGACUCCUUCAGACACCAAACUCCACGUUACGACGUCUCUCCCUGACACCCAAACUCCAGGCUUCAAACUGUCCCUUCUAAAACCCCGUCACUAAAGUCAAAUCCAAGUUCCAUAUUCCUGUAAAACCUGCAGGAUUCAGCUGGAUCGGCUGUUCGCAGGGAUUCAAUCUGUCACCUCCGGGGUUCGGUUCAGUCUCUCCACAUAACCGUGAGGCUAACGUCCGUCCUGCUAACAUCGAAAAACUUCAGCGGGAAAGGUCAGAGCCGAAGGCGCGGUCAAAGUGAUUGUCACGGGUUUGCAGGGGGAAUAUUUCCCUGCUGUAUAGGUCAACGUAGUGUUUCUUUUAAAGGUCAGAAAUGUAAAUGUCCCUCCUCUCCUCCUCUUCUUCACUUUCAUUUCAAAGUUUGAGGCGGAGGAACGAGCCACACUGCUGCCAUUACACUCGCCGCGCUAAUCUCUCCAUCGAUAAAAGAAAGAGGAAAAAUCUAAUAAGCUUAUUAACAAUGAGAGAAUUUUAAUCACAGAUGAGGAUUUUAUCAGCGCUCUGCGGGCCGCUCUGGAUCCAUCCGGCCCGCCGAAAAACUGGAUCCAGAGGAGGAGGGGGAGACGACGUCCGCUCAUUAUGAAAACAUUAACUCCAAAUCCAUUUGUUUUCCACGCUAAAAAGAGUCUGCAGACGAAUACUAAUCCAAUCUGCUCCAAGUAAUGAAAUCAUUAAUACAAAUUUAAUAAACGUCUGGGUUAUCCUCGCCGUGUUUCGGGGUUUUUCUGCUUUUAUCGGAGCGUUUCGGCCUCUUUGGCGCGCAGAGAUGGCCCUGAGAGUCAAUUCUAUAAUUAAGACACAUUAACUUGUAACACCUAACAGACGGGCUCAAUUACCACAGCGGCUAUUAAAUUAUAUUGGAGCGAGAGGCUGAGGGAACGGUGGCGUUCUCCACAUAUUACCGAGCACCUUUAUGAAGUUAUAAAAGAAAAAAAAAAGGACGUGUGUCUUUAUCGUAAAGGUGUUCGGAGGACUUUAUUGUGGCUCUGAGCGUCAAACUGAUCAAAUAAAGAUGAACCUGGAGUACGGGGACUUCACAUGUGUGUGUGUGUGUGUGUGUGGCAGCCGUCCCCCUAAACCAUAAAGUUAUAAAAUCAGAGGGUUAGUACGUACUUAAAAUCUGAUGUAUGUGGCGUGAAGUUUCCACACUCUUCUUAUUUGAGGUUUGGAUCCGAGUCCAGAACCUCAGACUCAGUUUCCACUCAGGAUGUGUUAAAGUCAUUACUGCACGUCCACAGAGAGGGGGGAGGUUAGCGUUUCCCUGUGCUGUGGCGCCCUCUGCUGGACUAACAGAGUAACACGAGCUCUAACCUGUUUGAGACCAGCUGCAGUGUUUCCAACAGGUUGAUGUACAGAACUCGUACAGUGGUGGUUCUGACCUACAUAAACAUGUUGUGUCAUUUUUAACCCUUUCACAUCCUCGAUAAAAAAUGUUUCUGGAUUUAUUAAAAGUUUUUUUUUUUAGCAAACAAAACAAAAAAUGACUUUAUUUUUAGAUUUGUUUAGAUUUUAAUUUUGGUUAUUUGGGGGCGGAGUCAAAUGUAACUGAUGGAGCAUUCCUGUAACCAUGGUAACUCUCAGCACAGGCCCUCAACUGAAACGUCUUACUGAUUAUACUGUGAAAUAAAAGAGAGAUUCUGGAAAAAAAUCAGCUGAAAUCACAACCACAACAAAUAAAGUCGCCAAAUUGGCAAAACAGAAAGUUUCACUUGUUUAAGUGAGUCGUACGUUGGGAGGAUUUGCACGUGCAAAGAAGAAGAUCAACCAAGACAGGCUGCCAAGUAUGAACAUUUCGCACAUCAUCCAGGAAUUUCACAAUUAAAGCCCCAUAUGCAAAAUUUCUCGGGUUGGUUAUCUGACUUUAUCUGCAGGUAACAGCACAUUAACCCGAGAGCACUGUCGCUAAAAUUAGUAUUGGUAGUCCUUGUCAUCAAAAUAUAUCAAUAUAGGACAAAACCUGACAAAUUAAAGUAUUUUUCUUUUAUUUCUAACUGUGUAAUGUCCAAAGGGAGGGGAAAAAGUGCCAUCAGGGGACCGAAAGAAUGCAACAAAAGAACCGAAAUUAGGCAUUCAUAAACAAAAAAUACCUUACAAAAAUCAAACAUAUAAACUGUAAACUUUUUUUUCCACCCAUUCCUGUGUCAUGUGCGUCUUCUCUGGUGAAGACUCGGGGUCUUUGGCACAAUAACAGGAGAGAGAACCAAAAUAUGGCAGAUUAGGAGUAAAAAUGACCAGCUGACUCAAAUAUUUCUCAUCACCAUAUGAAUUCCUUUGAAAAUCACGACUUUAUGAUAGUUAUUUAUAACCACAGUGCUAAAUAAAGGUAACAUGUAAAUUCCAGGACCAUUCUUACUGACCUUAUUCCCUACAUGCAGCUAUCAAAUCCACCCAAACCUACUUUACCCUCUAUCUCUAAAAUCACUCUGUGAACACGUAUCUGUAGGAAAAAGCAGGUUUUGGAAAAUCAGGGAAACAAAGAUCUCUUCAAAGAUGUCAAAGGAAAUGCUGGAGAUACCCAGAGACCCAUGAUACUCAGACAAACACGACAUCAUGAAAUUCAUGUGAACAUGUUUGGUUGUGUGGAAAUCACCCGACUAUAGUGUUCCAGGGUUAAAGUAGAUCUUCAUUCUCUAAACCCUAACCAUGAUGGUCUGCCCCAUAACAACGCCAAACGAGCAGGAAAUCAACCAGAAGGCUGUGGCGCCAUCUUCUGGUGACCUGAGGUGACUUCUACUUUAAAUGUUCAUGAUUCGAUCAUUCAUCACUCUGAGGUUUUCACACUUUCAUGGGCCGGAGGUCAAUCAGUCGUUGGACUUAGUUGGAGCUGCUGGGUCACAGGUCCAAGUCCUGCUGUGGACCAAAGUGUGAAGCUGGAGGGAGACCCCCGGAGCAAGGGACUGAACCUCCAGGUGCUCAAAAUGCGUAAGGAGCACCACAGGCUUUUUGUCCCCUUUCACAUUACCACAUGAAGACCACUAGAGGGCAGCACUCAACUUCACUAUGGGAAAUUCAUUCAGGAAUAGACUGAGCUGCUUUUUAUCCUGCAACUCAUGAACAAAUGGACCAAAGCAGCAACAUGAACAUACUUCAGAUGAUGCUUUUAUUUUUGCUAAGUUUGAGUUUUUCCUCAAAAAAGCUGCAUUAAAAUAAAAAAAUGUCUUUUUUUCUCUCAGAUCUGUUUAAACUCGGGAUACAGUGACGACCUUAAACCCAGAGGAUCAUGACUCCUGCAGAGCUGCUGGUACAGAGAUAUAACUCCUGUGUCCAGUCUGAGAUGGACCCAGAACCACAAUCUUAAAGGGAUAUUCCGGCAUAAAAUUAAACUUAGGAAAUGAGUCAAAGUUAAAAAGAUGUUUGGUGUCUAGUACUAUGUCUGUGACCCUAUAUGUACUGUUGAUGAAGUUAGGUGCUGUUCUGAGCAUUAUUUGUGGCUAUAGAGUGGCGUUUUGGUUGAGCGCGUGGCUCUCUGUACUGCUAUCCUGCGGUCGUUAUUAAAGUUGGUAUAACUAGAGAAGCAAGCAGUCGGCAACAUUCAUCUCUGGAGGGGGGGUCUGACUCUGUGUUACGGUGUGUUUGACCCUUCAUUAAUUUUACAGCGGAAUAUCCCUUUAACCCUGAACCACAUCAGUUAUCGCGUCCUGUCUUCACCACAAUCUUUAUCAUAAACUCCUGACUGAGUUCAGACGAGGAGAUGACCGUCUUUUCCUGGACCCGAUCCUCCUCAGGACAAGGUCACUCACGGGGUUUUAAAAAAGCUUUUUAAAACCGUUUUUCUUUAAUACUUAAAAAGUUAAUCCUCCCUCAGAGGAAAACUGUUCGGUCCAUGCCGCGAAGGCAAACGAGCCCCACAUGGGAGCCAUUUCAGGGGCACUCGCGGACUAAAUGAGUCUUUAAUAACACUCUGCAGAGGGCCUUGUAAUUGCGAGCGAGGGGAACUUUUUCUAAUUAUAAGCACUCGCAGGCACACACUCACUUCUUGCGCCUUCUGUAGCCUAGCAUGCCCCGUUAGCCGCGGUUCGCUAACCGUGCGGCUGAAACCACAUGAGAUACUGGAGAUUGCAGGCUGGCAGGAGUUUGUUCGGUUCGGGGUUUUCAGUCAGGGUUGGUUAGUAAAGUAAACACCAUGUGAAGUGGGCUGGGCGUUUGUGCAGAGAGACUCUAAACAAAAUCAAGGAAAGUACAAAUUUUCCGUAUGUUUGGCACCAGACUGAAACCGUGUUGUUUCUGCUCGGCAAUUAGAGGACGUGACUGUCAGCGUAAUUAUAACUUCCUAAUUGUGGCUGCUCUCUCUGCAAACUUGGAUCCCAGUUUGGAAAACAACAUUUUUCUCUCUUAUUGUUGGCUCCUUUCUGCCAGAAAUUCCACUUUGAGUUUGUGGCUGGAUGGUAUUUAAAUGAAAAAUCUGAGUUUAGUGAAAUCUGGUGAGUUAGAGAGCCUGGAAGAGUCAUGGAAAAGUUUGAAGGUACGUCUGAUGAUGUUUGGUUUUAGAAACCCUGUUAACUUCGUUUUAAUAAAGAGGAUUUGUUCAGAGGUUAGCUUUUUCAUUUCCACAUUUAAUAAUUCUUGGAUUAGGGUGACCACACAUCCUCUUCAGCCAGGACAUGUCCUCUUUUUGGGGGGCUGUCCGGCCUGUCCUGACCCUUCAUCUGUCCGGGGUUUGCUUAUAUGGUUUGCCUCUGAAUCUGUGGGUUCUCGUGAGUUCUCGCGAUCGUCGCUGUCGAUAAUCCACCACGAAACUCGCCUCACCAAUGGAUCCGGUAGGAAUUGGCGGACGUCAAAAAUCGGCACCGUUCGAAAUAGGAGCCAUUCCAGAUCUCCAAUGAAAAGUCCAAAGAUGGGUCGUGAACCCAGAACCACUUCCUCCAAAGGUGACAGCCCUACGACACCUGGUGUUUCUAUCUAAAAGGAUUUUUCACAUUUUUAACAUUGUUCAUUUCACUAGUAACUCUGCUGUUGUCUUUAGUCUAGCAUGAGUUCACUCUACUUCCAUAUUUCAGAGCCCUGAAACAGAAUCUCUGAAAUGUAAUUCAAAACAAACUUCAGAUUAGAUUUAAACUCUGAGUUAACUGAGAUUAAGUCCCACAAUCCCGUCUGCUGAUCACCGACACAGCUUCCAUCAUGGAAACCUGAUAAUCGCCGCACGCUGAGCUUUUGGGUCUCUCUCUCUCUCUCUCUCUCUCUCUCUCUCUCUCUCUCUCUCUCUCUCUCUCUCUCUCUCUCUCUCUCUCUCUCUCUCUCUCUCUCUCUCUCUCUCUCUCUCUCUCUCUCUCUCUCUCUCUCUCUCUCUCUCUCUCUCUCUCUCUCUCUCUCUCUCUCUCUCUCUCUCUCUCUCUCUCUCUCUCUCUCUCUCUCUCUCUCGUAAAUCCGUCACUUUUUUACACCUGAAAACUUUAUAAAGUCUCGAUCUGACCCCUAGAGCAGCCGGUCGCUCUGACUUUUACGCCCCCCGUGUGCCUGUCAGCAGUCACAGCUUAAUCCAGCAGGUGAUAAUGGAGCCUCCAGCUCUCGGUCUGUGAAAGGAAUCACCAUAAAGCGCCUCCCUCUGAGGCCCACAAAAUUCAUGGGUACGGAUACUAUCAAUUCCCCCAACUGUUUAAUGUCUUCAGCAGAGCGAUCUGUCUCUCAUUAGCUCACGCACAAGUGUUUAUUUUGGUGUAAAUCUGGAGCGAGACGGCAGGAGCUCCUCCAGCAGAGAGCUGACGCUGGAAAACAGAUUUCACCGUGCUGGAAAUGUUCAUUUUGUAGGAAUUAUAAUCAUUUUAGAUGUGAUUUUAAUUUCCUUAUUUCACUUAUACGGAGCUCAAACUGUGUGGACUCCUUCUACAGAACAGAUUAUUCAGAAGUCACCACUAGAGGGAGCUGUACGCCUAAAAAGAAGACACAGUUCACUGUUUCGACUCCUGUUGUUGCAUCUCUGUCCAUGUUUUCUGUUUUCAGAUUCUAUCUGAUGCAAACGUCCCUCUCACUGUCGACCUCUGACCUCUCUAAUUGCAGCAGAUAAUAGACGUCUACCAGCCCGUCCUCAGCGCUGACAGGUCUCCGUCCUGCAGCAGCAGCAGCAUCUGUUUUCUCUCUGCUCACCGGCCUGUCGGGGGUCACAGGCUGCACAGCGACGGGUUGUUUUGUCUGACUGUGGAUCCUCACAGGACGGUGGGAAAGAGUGAGUCAGAGCCGUGGAAGCUACAAGCUCCUCUUCUGCAAAUCACGUUUUAAACUUUUAUUUAUCGUCGGGUUGAGUCGCAGAAAAGUUCUGCAGACACUCGGGCCAGAGUUUAGAGUCAGGGGUCUUCAUCUGGUGCUGCUACAGAUCUGGAUCUACAGUAAUACGUCAGAAACAAGAAUCAGACACAGAUAAGACGGACCGCUCCACCACUGAGACACAAAAACACAAAUGAGGGUUCUACACUUUCAGGAGUUUGUGGCUGAUCUGGAUAUCAGGCUGACAGACGCUUUGCAGAAGCUGCUGCUGCUCAGGUGCAAUGCAUUCUGGUACAUGUAGGCGCUGCAGGGUUGGAGGACUCAUUUCUUUUUACAUGAACUGAGUAAUGCAUGCUUUUAUUUACAAAUGCACCAAAAAAAAUAAUAAUAAUAACUGAAGGAAGCUCGUCUCCUAAGUCCAAAAUUAAGUUUUUCUUUGGCUGUUUGAAAAACACCGUGGACCACCUGAAGUUUUAGAUUCAGCAGAAUUGUUUUAGAGUGAAGUGUGAGCAGACCUGACUGCAGAACAGCAUGGACUAAACUCUCCAUAACUGAACUUUUCUGGGUGUUUUUGAGGGUUUCUAAUCUGACAGAACUGGAGCAUAAGAACACUGCAUGAUGAGGCUGUUCAGACAGUCGUGUAUUUUGGUGUACUUUGCCUUUAAAUGGUCAGUUUUGUAAGUAUUUUAAUGAUCUUUUCCACCUCCAGCGUUUACUAAAUUGUCUUUGUGCAUUCAUAAAAAACCCGUAGAGUAAAAAAAACGUUUGUUUCACAGGUAAAGACCAAAAUCACAGUAUAAUUCAUCAGAUCUGAUUUGGCUCACUUUUCUAACAUGUUAUACAUCAUAAUAAUCUGUGAUACACUCAGUCUCUGCGGUACCAGGAUGUACAGAGACGCUAACGCAGCGUUGAUCCGAUGAUGGGAAAUCCCUUAAUCAGGAAAACACCACCAGGGACCCCGAAUGUGAAAGGCAGAGGGUAUUAGCAUGGAAAUAGAUAAUAUCCCCUCCCUCUGAGCUCUGCUGCAGCUCCUGCAAACACACACACACACAAACACACACACACACACACACCACCGUGAUCUCUACCUCCACACCUCCUCUCUUGUUAUCAGCGCGGCUCCCUACCAGGGGCUUAUGUUUGUGCCAGGCACAGCCAGCAGCCUGGGCUUCCAUUAACCAGAGCCGCUCUGUGUGAGGGAGUGUAAUACUGCCGCUGAAUCUGACAUACAUGAUAUAAGGUGGAAGGAGAAGCAGACUUUAAUUAUUUUAUACUUGAAUUUGUUGAAUAAAAUGUGGAUUUAAUGUUUUUAACCUUUUUAAACCUACAGAAAUGAAACAAGAACCGAAAUGAGCAACAAAAAACUUUGCAAAUCAUGUUUUUUUAUAUCCAGCGUUCAGGUUGUAGAUGCACAAUCCUUAAUAAUCUGUAUAUAACCCACCAAACCUUCAGCUGUGACUGUUUCCCUGAGGCAGAGGUGGGUAUAUGCUGUUUUUUUUUUCUUCUGCAGGGUUCUGCCCAGACAAGAGCUGAAGCUGUCGAACAUGGAGGAAGUCAGGUGAAGUUACAGGCUGUUUAAGAAAGGGUAAGGAGAAGUGGAGAGUAGAAGAAGGCGUGCAGCAGAUGGUCAAACCCCUAGACCUGUGGCAUUUACAGGUACGAGAGGUAGAAGCUAAUUGGAGCGUAUUUCAACCAAAAUGCAUUUCAUACCACCAGCCAGCAGGUGGCAUUCAUCGUCAGGCCCCGUU